rnacentral:rRNA from 1 species
CCUACGGGGGGCAGCAGUGGGGAAUAUUGCACAAUGGGGGAAACCCUGAUGCAGCGACGCCGCGUGAGUGAAGAAGUAAUUCGUUAUGUAAAGCUCUAUCAGCAGGGAAGAAAAUGACGGUACCUGAGUAAGAAGCCCCGGCUAACUACGUGCCAGCAGCCGCGGGCAUACGUAGGGGGCAAGCGUUAUCCGGAUUUACUGGGUGGAAAGGGAGCGUAGGCGGCAGUGCAAGUCUGGAGUGAAAGGCGGGGGCUCAACCCCCGGACUGCUCUGGAAACUGUACGGCUGGAGUGCAGGAGAGGUAAGUGGAAUUCCUGGUGUAGCGGUGAAAUGCGUAGAUAUUAGGAAGAACACCAGUGGCGAAGGCAGCUUACUGGACUGUAACUGACGUUGAGGCACGAAAGCGUGGGGAGCAAACAGGAUUAGAUACCCGGGUAGUC